GUGUGUGUGUGUCUGCAUAUACCGAUAUAUGUGUUUGCACCUCCAAUAGUAACUAUCAAAGUUUCAAAAAAAACCGAUAGAAGCCCUGAGGAGGACACAGGACCGACCCAAGGGGGACAAAAGUGUAUCGUUAUUACAGUAGCAUAGCGAUUUUCUUGCUCAAAUCAGGAAGAUUCACUCGUCUUGUACACCAUAAAUUGAAAAGGACAAGAGCGAGUAUAAAAAGACCUGAAUCUCUUCUGCGUAAAUGGCUGGACUUACAUCCACCAUCUGUAUGGCGCAAUUCAGGCAGAGAGCGUGUGCGAUCUCGAUGCGUCUCCGUCUAGUGAGGUAGCGGUUGAAGUGAAACUCUUUUUCCAGCUCCAGGGUCUGAUAACGAGUGUAAGUCUGACGUCCCCUCUUCCUGUCUGAAGCUGGGCCAUGAUCAAGGAGAGGAAUCGAAAGAAAGAGCGAAACAGUGAGGAAGAAAAUGAAAUUACCAACAAUGCAGGAACAGCAUUCUAACUAAACAGUCGGCAUUGCUCUUUCCUGUACUCUACUUCUGCCACUAAUUUCAACAUAAUGUCCAGAAUAUCUCCGUGACAGAUACAAUAAAUUACUGUCGGAAACUAA